UACGGAAGGCAGCAGUGGGGAAUAUUGCACAAUGGGCGCAAGCCUGAUGCAGCCAUGCCGCGUGUAUGAAAAAGGCCUUCGGGUUGUAAAGUACUUUUCAGUCGUGAGGAAGGUGUUAAGGUUAAUAACCUUAGCAAUUGACGUUAGCGACAGAAGAAGCACCGGCUAACUCCGUGCCAGCAGCCGCGGUAAUACGGAGGGUGCGAGCGUUAAUCGGAAUUACUGGGCGUAAAGGGCACGCAGGCGGUUAAUUAAGUUGGAUGUGAAAUCCCCGGGCUUAACCUGGGAAUGGCAUUCAAGACUGGUUAGCUAGAGUCUUGUAGAGGGGGUAGAAUUCCAUGUGUAGCGGUGAAAUGCGUAGAGAUGUGGAGGAAUACCGGUGGCGAAGGCGGCCCCUGGGACAAAGGGACCUGGACGCGUCAUGUGCGAAAGCGUGGGGAGCAAACGAGGGAUUAGAUACC
rnacentral:rRNA from 1 species